AAAAGAAGAGGGACAAGGAAAGGACACGAGGGACAGUCGAUCUACGAUAUGACGUACUCCGUGUAGCGGUCGACGACGAACUGAAUUCGAAUCGCGAUUAACGUGAGGACUGAGAGUUGCAUGAGGGGGUAAACGAAACCAACAUGUGACGAUAAGACAGCUGUUCAACAGAUCGCCUGCAGUCUACAAUCUACGCACCAACAGACGCUUUUACCUUACGUCGAGAACGAAAUCGGUUUCUAUCGCAGAGAAUUUUUAUGCAAACCUACAAAUGCUCUGGAUAGCCGGCCUACACCUGAACCAAUCACAAGCGGAGUUUCAAUGGGCGGGGAUGUGGCGUGAUCCACGAUGACGUCAUGGUAGUCCGCAAUCGAUAACUACUCGACGUUUUAGCAAACCCCUUCUAACCCUGGCCUGUUACUCUAGUACUAUACGAUCAAUGUUCAGCUUCAAUGCACCACACGACUCUUACGGUAUGAUCGCGCAUUCUUCACCUCAAUAAAAUAGGUUAAUUACCUUGAAAGAACUAUCAAAAUAUAUAUUCUAAUCGCACUUUUAGUCAUAAAAAUAGAUCAUAUCCGAUAUUUAUGACUUCUUCGUCAAAAAGAGAUAAAGCACUAUGGAUGUUGUUACCAUAGAGGUAAGGAAGUGAUUUUAUCGACUAUACUGAUUUCUACUGUAGUUAACGAAAAUUUCGCCAAAUAUAUAUUUCAGAGAGGAAAGACAAUUGUUUUAUUACUUGAUGAAUUUAUAUACAAGUGUAAUUAAUAACUAAUAUUUGUAUAUAGCCGGAAUCUAUAAUUUACCAUUUUAAAAUGUUUUAUUUCAAUGUAGGCACAUAAAUGAAUUUUUAUGCCUUUAUUGUAAUUUUUUAACAGUUAAAUCCAUGUGUUACCAUAUGUACUUCGAUGAAUACUUUUUCAUGAUUUUGCAAUGCAUAAGAAAAACGGUAAGGUUAAAUAAUGUUAAACAAAAAU